rnacentral:rRNA from 1 species
ACCACUUUGUGAUUCAUGGCUGGGGUGAAGUCGUAACAAGGUAACCGUAGGGGAACCUGCGGUUGGAUCACCUCCUUACCUUAAAGAA